rnacentral:rRNA from 1 species
GAUGAACGCUGGCGGCGUGCUUAACACAUGCAAGUCGAACGAAGAUGCCGGAGUGCUUGCACUUUGGCAGACUGAGUGGCGGACGGGUGGGUAACGCGUGGGUAACCUGCCUUAUACAGGGGGAUAACAGUUGGAAACGACUGCUAAUACCGCAUAAGCGCACGGUAUCGCAUGAUACAGUGUGAAAAACUCCGGUGGUAUAAGAUGGACCCGCGUCUGAUUAGCUUGUUGGUGAGGUAACGGCCCACCAAGGCGACGAUCAGUAGCCGGCCUGAGAGGGUGAACGGCCACAUUGGGACUGAGACACGGCCCAAACUCCUACGGGAGGCAGCAGUGGGGAAUAUUGCACAAUGGGGGAAACCCUGAUGCAGCAACGCCGCGUGAAGGAAGACGGUUUUCGGAUUGUAAACUUCUAUCAAUAGGGACGAAGAAAGUGACGGUACCUAAAUAAGAAGCCCCGGNUAACUACGUG